rnacentral:rRNA from 1 species
GAGACAACUCGGAGCGGGGGGCCCGUAAAUGCAGUCGUGCCCGGCGGUCACAGUAAGAGCUUGCUCUUACGGGUGGCGAGUGGCGGACGGGUGAGGAAUGCAUCGGAAUCUACUCUGUCGUGGGGGAUAACGUAGGGAAACUUACGCUAAUACCGCAUACGACCUACGGGUGAAAGCAGGGGAUCUUCGGACCUUGCGCGAUUGAAUGAGCCGAUGCCCGAUUAGCUAGUUGGCGGGGUAAGAGCCCACCAAGGCGACGAUCGGUAGCUGGUCUGAGAGGAUGAUCAGCCACACUGGAACUGAGACACGGUCCAGACUCCUACGGGAGGCAGCAGUGGGGAAUAUUGGACAAUGGGCGCAAGCCUGAUCCAGCCAUACCGCGUGGGUGAAGAAGGCCUUCGGGUUGUAAAGCCCUUUUGUUGGGAAAGAAAAGCAGCCGGUUAAUACCCGGUUGUUCUGACGGUACCCAAAGAAUAAGCACCGGCUAACUUCGUGCCAGCAGCCGCGGUAAUACGAAGGGUGCAAGCGUUACUCGGAAUUACUGGGCGUAAAGCGUGCGUAGGUGGUUGUUUAAGUCUGUCGUGAAAGCCCUGGGCUCACCUGGGAAUGGCGAUGGAAACUGGGCGACUAGAGUGGGGCAGAGGGUAGUGGAAUUCCUGGUGUACAGUGAAAUGCGUAAAGAUCAGGAGGAACAUCCGUGGCAAAGGCGAUUGCCUGGGCAACACUGACCUGAAGGCCCAAAAGCGUGGGGGACAAACAG